UCUCCCCUAGCUCAGCUGGUUAGAGCGUUCGACUGUUAGUCCUCACAUCAUGAGGAGCCGCAAUCGAGAGGUCGACAGUUCAAUCCUGUCGGGGAGAG